rnacentral:rRNA from 1 species
CCUACGGGGUGCAGCAGUGAGGAAUAUUUGUCAAUGGGCGCGAGCCUGAACCAGCCAAGUAGCGUGAAGGAUGACUGCCCUACGGGUUGUAAACUUCUUUUAUAAAGGAAUAAAGUGAGGCACGUGUGCCUUGUUGUAUGUACUUUAUGAAUAAGGAUCGGCUAACUCCGUGCCAGCAGCCGCGGUAAUACGGAGGAUCCGAGCGUUAUCCGGAUUUAUUGGGUUUAAAGGGUUCGUAGAUGGGUUUUUAAGUGAGUUGUGAAAGGUUGUGGCUCAACCUUAGAAUUGCAAUUGAUACUGGCAGCCUUGAGUACAGUUGAGGUAGGCGGAAUUCGUUGUGUAGCGGUGACAUGCUUAGAUAUCACGAAGAACUCCGAUUGCGAAGGCAGCUUACUAGACUGCAACUGACGUUGAUGCUCGAAAGUGUGGGUAUCAAACAGGAUUAGAUACCCUGGUAGUC